rnacentral:rRNA from 1 species
AAUAGAUACCCAGGUAGUCCACGCCGUAAACGAUGUCGACUUGGAGGUUGUUCCCUUGAGGAGUGACUUCCGGAGCUAACGCGUUAAGUCGACCGCCUGGGGAGUACGGCCGCAAGGUUAAAACUCAAAUGAAUUGACGGGGGCCCGCACAAGCGGUGGAGCAUGUGGUUUAAUUCGAUGCAACGCGAAGAACCUUACCUACUCUUGACAUCCAGAGAACUUAGCAGAGAUGCUUUGGUGCCUUCGGGAACUCUGAGACAGGUGCUGCAUGGCUGUCGUCAGCUCGUGUUGUGAAAUGUUGGGUUAAGUCCCGCAACGAGCGCAACCCUUAUCCUUUGUUGCCAGCGGUUAGGCCGGGAACUCAAAGGAGACUGCCAGUGAUAAACUGGAGAAGGUGGGGAUGACGUCAAGUCAUCAUGGCCCUUACGAGUAGGGCUACACACGUGCUACAAUGGCGCAUACAAAGAGAAGCGACCUCGCGAGAGCAAGCGGACCUCAUAAAGUGCGUCGUAGUCCGGA